AGUUUGACAUUCACAAACAGCUCAACCACCUGCUUCCUCUAUAUAGGCAGCAUUACCUCCGCCCACAUUGUGACGUAUAUGGAAAUUACAAAACCAGCGCGAAUGACUACUUACUAACAACAACAGAGUUAGGAUUAGCCCAACCAACUGAAAUGCUAAUCAAAAAAGUUCUGAGUCUCUGUACUCCUCAGCAGCGGAUAAUGAAAAAGCCUUCUUAAAGACAAAUUUAAAUGUAACCUUGCGUUAUGGCUCCCGCUCCUGGUGAAACACUAGGGCUGUCUCUCAAUUCAGGGGACGCAUCCUUCGAAGGACGCGGUCUAUGAAGGUGUGGCCUUCGUAGACCGUGAAGGCCGGACCGAAGGCUGAACAAACGUUUUUUUGAAUGAGACGGUCUGGCCUACGGAGCAUUUCAAGUUUGUGUGACAAGCCGUUAACAUCCUUUACCUUGCGUGACGACGCGCCGCUUCUGUCACCUAGCAACCCUGACAGCUGCGGUUCAAACUGGACGGCGGAGGAGAAAUAUGGAGCAGUUAUAUCUGGUCUGGACACAAAAACAACCCGGGAGCGCCUGUGACAUUAACUAUUUCCCUAAAGGAUUAGUUAAAGGACUCUAGCCUGGAUAUCCAGACCCACAUCUAAAAAGCUGUAGUGUCUGGCAACGA